rnacentral:rRNA from 1 species
AUGUUCUUGGACCCUCUUCGUAACUGGGAUGUCAAGUGGAGUUGGGGGUCGGCGGCACUAGCCUUCUUGUACCGUCAGUUGAACGGAGCAUGUAUGAGGAGUAAGCCGAAAUCUUGUCUUGGUGGUUUUGUUUGGGCCCUACAAAUUUGGAUGUGGGAGCGUAUCCCUGUGGGCCGUAACUUCACCAUUGCUCCGGAAGAACCUUGCGAGUGGCCUUUUGACGGGGAUGAGGAGCGAUAUCCCACUAUCGCAUACACUUGGGCUAAUGUCCAAGUGUCGAGUAUCGCCGCCAUGGGGGGGUAUAAGGCAUACAUAAGGGAGCUUGACAUGCUUACUUACAACCAGGUUAAUUGGAGGUCGUACAUGGUACUUAGGCAGUUCCCUUUGAGCAAUAUGUGCCUUCGUGACCAACAUCUUUGGCGUGUGCGUUGCCCCAUGAUAUGCUUUUUUGCGGUGGAGUGGCAUCUUCCACAUCGUGUUUCGAAGCAAUUUGGUGUACAACAACGCACCCCGCCGGAGUAUGUUGAGACAAGUGUGGUGCUACAUAGGACGAGCCGGCAACACAACAAGAAUGUCAUUAAUUGGGAGGAUCACCAUCUUAUGUGGGUAGACAUGUGGAAUGCUCAAAGGAAUGCCCGAAUUGAAGAUGAUCACACACUUGACAACGAUGAGGGGGCAUAUUUAAGGCAUUUGGAGUGGCUUCACAAAGAGUACAGAGUUAUCCUUAAGGGUGCUUGGACUCGUGUCGAUUGCUUGGAAGUAAUGCCAAGUGAGGCUGCUGAUGGUGCAUUCAACAACUCUAUUAGGGAGACCAUUGGAGCGCACCUAGAUUAUGGCCCUCUGCAUGACCGAGUGGACACGGAGCUAUGGAGAUGUAUCAAUGAUAGUAAUGUGGUGCUUGGCCGCGCACCUGGUAGAGAAACAGACAUUCUCAUUAGGAGUACUCUACAGAAGGUUGUGAAUCAUUGCCGAACACUAGCCGCUUUACUUUCUUGCCAUGGUGGUUCAUCCACGGAUGUGCGUGCACGUGCUCAGUAUAGAAUGGAUGUGCUGUCUUCCGCUCAUCCAUCUUCGAGCCAAUCACGCGCUUCUUCCGCUCGUCCAUCUUCCAACCGAGCAGGUGCUUCUUCGAGCCGAGCACGGAUUGAUGAACAUGAAGAUGAAGAGGAGGAGACAGACUACGAUGCGGAUCCGGACUAUGUGGAGCUUGCGGCUUCGCAGAUGGAAGAUGCUCCACCGCCAACUCAACCUUCUCAGCCUUCUGAAGAAGCACGCCGAGUUAGCUCAAGAACCAUCCGACGUCCUAGAUGGCAGAACACUCUAGAGAGCUACGUCAACAGGGGGAAGAUGGCUGCAAAAAGAGGCAAGAAGUGA